rnacentral:hammerhead_ribozyme from 1 species
AUCCAGCUGAUGAGUUCAAAAUAGAGUGAAACGCGCGUCCUAGAU